rnacentral:misc_RNA from 1 species
AUAUUUGUUCUUUAACAAUGUGGUAAAAAGUAUAAGUAAAGAUUCCUUGAUUAAUUUAGGGUUAUUUUUAGUUUCGGUUGAGAUGUAUUUUUAUGUCUUGAUUGAUUAUUAGAAAUAAUUUUUAGUUUAUUUAAUUAACGAGUCUUGGUAAUUUUUGAAAACCGGUGUUGAGAUAUAGUUUUGAUUGGUAUUAGUUAAUAGAUUUUAGAUUUAUUGAUAUAAGACUUUUUGGGGU